GACGAACGCUGGCGGCGUGCUUAACACAUGCAAGUCGAACGGAAAGGCCCUGCUUUUGUGGGGUGCUCGAGUGGCGAACGGGUGAGUAACACGUGAGUAACCUGCCCUUGACUUUGGGAUAACUUCAGGAAACUGGGGCUAAUACCGGAUAGGAGCUCCUGCUGCAUGGUGGGGGUUGGAAAGUUUCGGCGGUUGGGGAUGGACUCGCGGCUUAUCAGCUUGUUGGUGGGGUAGUGGCUUACCAAGGCUUUGACGGGUAGCCGGCCUGAGAGGGUGACCGGCCACAUUGGGACUGAGAUACGGCCCAGACUCCUACGGGAGGCAGCAGUGGGGAAUAUUGCACAAUGGGCGGAAGCCUGAUGCAGCAACGCCGCGUGCGGGAUGACGGCCUUCGGGUUGUAAACCGCUUUCGCCUGUGACGAAGCGUGAGUGACGGUAAUGGGUAAAGAAGCACCGGCUAACUACGUGCCAGCAGCCGCGGUGAUACGUAGGGUGCGAGCGUUGUCCGGAUUUAUUGGGCGUAAAGGGCUCGUAGGUGGUUGAUCGCGUCGGAAGUGUAAUCUUGGGGCUUAACCCUGAGCGUGCUUUCGAUACGGGUUGACUUGAGGAAGGUAGGGGAGAAUGGAAUUCCUGGUGGAGCGGUGGAAUGCGCAGAUAUCAGGAGGAACACCAGUGGCGAAGGCGGUUCUCUGGGCCCUUCCUGACGCUGAGGUGCGAAAGCGUGGGGAGCGAACAGGCUUAGAUACCCUGGUAGUCCACGCUGUAAACGGUGGGUACUAGGUGUGGGGUCCAUUCCACGGGUUCCGUGCCGUAGCUAACGCUUUAAGUACCCCGCCUGGGGAGUACGGCCGCAAGGCUAAAACUCAAAGGAAUUGACGGGGCCCCGCACAAGCGGCGGAGCAUGCGGAUUAAUUCGAUGCAACGCGUAGAACCUUACCUGGGUUUGACAUGGAUCGGGAGUGCUCAGAGAUGGGUGUGCCUCUUUUGGGGUCGGUUCACAGGUGGUGCAUGGCUGUCGUCAGCUCGUGUCGUGAGAUGUUGGGUUAAGUCCCGCAACGAGCGCAACCCUUGUUCACUGUUGCCAGCACGUUAUGGUGGGGACUCAGUGGAGACCGCCGGGGUCAACUCGGAGGAAGGUGGGGAUGACGUCAAGUCAUCAUGCCCCUUAUGUCCAGGGCUUCACGCAUGCUACAAUGGCUGGUACAGAGAGUGGCGAGCCUGUGAGGGUGAGCGAAUCUCGGAAAGCCGGUCUCAGUUCGGAUUGGGGUCUGCAACUCGACCACAUGAAGUCGGAGUCGCUAGUAAUCGCAGAUCAGCAACGCUGCGAUGAAUACGUUCCCGGGGCU
rnacentral:rRNA from 1 species